CGGGACGCGGCGCAGCUCGGUAGCGCACUCGGCUGGGGGACCGAGGUGCAGGUUCGAACCCUGUCGUCCGGC
rnacentral:tRNA from 1 species